GAGCUGAGAGGACGCACAAUAAAAUAUUCCCUGUUCAUGUUUACUUUGUAUUCUGUUUAUGUUCCUGGUGAACCAUAAACUAGCAACCGACGACAAGGAUGUGACCUGGGCCACAAACUGUGUGCAAACACCAUUUUUUUUGUCAGCAGGAAAAACAUCACCUGCUCUUUGAAAACGGUGCAGGAAUGUGGACAUAAUAUUGAGGGAAAUGCUUGUGAGGGGACUUGGGCUGCGGUACAGCACAAAGGAGAGCCCAUCGCCCAAUUUGUGCUUACCCUAGAGUUAGUGGAACAUUGUGAAUUCAGAGGAUUCCUCCAGGAUGCCUUGCGGAACUGUUUCGUAAUGGCCUUUGACACAAAGCCAUCCAACAGAAGCUACUAACAAGGUGAAUCACUGAAGUCCAGGCAACAACCUGGUAGAUCUCCUCUGCAGCCUGUCUACUGUGAAUACAUCUCUCCUAGAAUGGAGCAGCAAGAUCUGUACACAGUGCUCCAGCUGUGGCCUAAUUAACAUUCCAUACAGCUCCAUCAUAACCUCCCUGUUCUCAUAUUCAGUACCUUGGCUAAUAAAGGCAAGUAUUCCAUAUACUUUGUUAUCCAUCUCAUCUACCUAUCCUGUCAAAGAUCUAUGGACAUGCACACUGAGGUCGUUCUGAUCCGAGGAUCCUACCAUUCAACAUGUACUACCUUACCUUGUUAGUUCUCUUAAAUGUAUCACCUCGUACUUUGAAGGAUUAAAUUAUAUUUGCCACUGUUCACCCUGACUUUCUUCAUUGCUAUUUAUGCCCCAUGAAGUUUUAAGUCACCUGUGACCUUACUGAUCAUACCUCUAAUAUUCAUGUUUAGAUCAUUAACGUAAGCAGCAAACAGCACAGGACCCAGCACUGAACCCUGUGGUACACAACUGGACAUAAGCUUCCAGUCACAAAAACACCUUUCAACCAUCACCUUUUGCUUCCUGCCGCUAAGCCAAUUUAGAAG